rnacentral:rRNA from 1 species
UACGUAGGGUGCGAGCGUUGUCCGGAAUUAUUGGGCGUAAAGAGCUUGUAGGCGGUUUGUCGCGUCUGCCGUGAAAGCCCAGGGCUUAACCCUGGGUCUGCGGUGGGUACGGGCAGACUAGAGUGUGGUAGGGGAGACUGGAAUUCCUGGUGUAGCGGUGAAAUGCGCAGAUAUCAGGAGGAACACCGAUGGCGAAGGCAGGUCUCUGGGCCACUACUGACGCUGAGGAGCGAAAGCGUGGGGAGCAAACAGG